rnacentral:rRNA from 1 species
ACAGCAGCAGCCGCGGUAAUACGUAGGGUGCAAGCGUUAAUCGGAAUUACUGGGCGUAAAGCGUGCGCAGGCGGUUAUAUAAGACAGAUGUGAAAUCCCCGGGCUCAACCUGGGAACUGCAUUUGUGACUGUAUAGCUAGAGUACGGCAGAGGGGGAUGGAAUUCCGCGUGUAGCAGUGAAAUGCGUAGAUAUGCGGAGGAACACCGAUGGCGAAGGCAAUCCCCUGGGCCUGUACUGACGCUCAUGCACGAAAGCGUGGGGAGCAAACAGGAUUAGAUACCCGUGUAGUCCCUGUCUCUUAUAC